UACGUAGGGAGCAAGCGUUGUUCGGAUUUACUGGGCGUAAAGGGCGCGUAGGCGGCGUGUUAAGUCAGCUGUGAAAUCUCCAAGCUCAACUUGGAACGGCCAGCUGAUACUGAUGUGCUAGAGUGCAGAAGGGGCAAUCGGAAUUCUUGGUGUAGCGGUGAAAUGCGUAGAUAUCAAGAGGAACACCUGAGGUGAAGACGGGUUGCUGGGCUGACACUGACGCUGAGGCGCGAAGGUCAGGGGAGCAAACGGG
rnacentral:rRNA from 1 species